rnacentral:rRNA from 1 species
UGGGGAAUCUUCCGCAAUGGACGAAAGUCUGACGGAGCAACGCCGCGUGAGUGAAGACGGCCUUCGGGUUGUAAAGCUCUGUGAUCCGGGACGAAAGAGCCUGAGGUGAAUAGCCUAAGGAAGUGACGGUACCGGACAAGCAAGCCACGGCUAACUACGUGCCAGCAGCCGCGGUAAUACGUAGGUGGCAAGCGUUGUCCGGAAUUAUUGGGCGUAAAGCGCGCGCAGGCGGCUUCCUAAGUCCAUCUUAAAAGUGCGGGGCUUAACCCCGUGAUGGGAUGGAAACUGGGAAGCUGGAGUAUCGGAGAGGAAAGUGGAAUUCCUAGUGUAGCGGUGAAAUGCGUAGAGAUUAGGAAGAACACCGGUGGCGAAGGCGACUUUCUGGACGAAAACUGACGCUGAGGCGCGAAAGCGUGGGGAGCAAACAGG